rnacentral:lncRNA from 1 species
GCAGGCGGAGUUGCUAUGGAUGGGGCCGCGGUAGCCAGUGACCUGCUGACACUGGGGUACGAUGCCCUCCCAGAGGGGGCGUCUCGGGGCCCCGCGUGUGCGGACUUCAGGGCGCUGUGCGCGCGACUGGCGGCGGAGCUGACGACUCUGGGAGCUGUGGAGCGGCGAGAGGAGGGCACCGCGGUUCUCGGCGCCGGCCACGGUGCGUGAAAUGCUGGGUGGACGGCGGGUGGAGCCGCGGAACCCGCUGCUCCCUGAUGGCUUCUUCCUCCCGCAGGCCCGGACGCAGAGGAAGAGUUCCUGCGGCAGUUGGCUGGCCUGCUGCGGGCGUUGCACUGCCCGGAUCGCGCGCUCUGCGGCGGAGACUGCGCCACCAUGCUGCGGGAGCCCGGUGGCGGCCUGCGCCUGCUGCGUGAGCAAGCCGGAAAGGCGCGGGGGAGGCGGCGGUGGGCGGGGCCCCUGAAGGGGGCGGGCUCGCACUCUGAGACUGGACUCUCAGGGGCGUGGCCAAAGCUUUGUGCUGAGCUUGAAGGCCACAGCUAGAGAGACUGGUUCGGGCUGGGUUAGAAUUCUGACUAGGGCCUCUGAAAGCUUUAAUGCGUUGAGUUAAACGCCAGUCGGUUGGUUCUGAAGUGGACUCACACCCUCCAGUGUA